UUCUCACUUUUCUGUUGCCCGCACGCUUUGCUUCCUCCUGCUUCCGAGGGCGCACUCACUGCGUGAUCCCUCACAUGUCUUCUUCAACCGCCCCGGCCACUACCAGCGACUCCUCUGACCUCUUUGAAACACCCAUAUUAGACAGCGAGUUUUCCGCUCUCCUCCACGCCAUUUCCGAGCAUGGAGGCUAUGCUUUUGUCAGCAUGGCUACCCUCGCCACCCUCGGCGACUUUCGAGCCGCCGAGGCUGCCCGUGAGAUGGCCUGGGAGCAGCUACACUCAGGGCCUCGUCACUCUGUCCUCCCAGUUUGGCGCGACGCCUACUCUAUGGCUUGCCUUCACGUGGCCAAGCACCAUUACAGCAGCGGUGACUUCAAGGAGGCUCUUAGGGCUUUGGAUAUGGGACUGAUCAUGGGGGGAUCGCUUCUAAAGAAUGACCUGAGCUCUGCUGUUGGCAGAGUCUCGGAGAGGGUCAGGAACAUUAGGGCUUCCGGAGAAAGCCACGAAGGCUUCGGGAAGUCCGAGCAGCGACUUCUCGAUCACGAACUUAAUCAGGCCGAGGUGUACAAACUUCUACCCUUGAACUCCCUUUCUCAUAAAAUCGUGGAGAAGAGGUCUGCUCUGUCAUUGGAAAGGUUCCUGGAAGAUUAUUAUCGGUCUGGUUCCCCGGUUAUCAUCAGUGAUUGUAUGGCUCACUGGCCAGCCAAGACAAAAUGGAAUGACAUAGACUAUUUGAAAAGGAUUGCUGGUGAUCGCACAAUUCCAGUUGAGGUUGGAAAAAACCAUUUAUGUGCACAGUGGAAGAAAGAGUUAAUUACAUUUUCAGAGUUUCUUCAACGUAUUGAGUCCCAUGGCUGCUCUUCUGUGGGUCCUACAUAUCUUGCUCAGCAUCCGCUAUUUGAUCAGUUGCAGAUAAAUGAGCUUCGGAAAGAUAUUUGUAUUCCUGACUAUUGUUUUGCUGGCGAAGGGGAGCUAAGGUGUCUCAAUGCUUGGUUUGGUCCUGCUGGGAUAGUAACACCAUUACACCAUGAUCCACACCAUCAUAUACUAGCUCAGGUUGUGGGGAAGAAAUAUGUGAGGCUCUACUCUGCAUCUUUGUCUAAGGAACUUUACCCUUACAUCAAAACAACGCUCACGAAUUCCAGCCAGGUAUUUAUUUAUUUAUUUUUCAAUGUGAAUUAAUAACCUCCUGUGCAUGAUGCUUACGCAUUUGCACACCAUCAUUACCAUAUACCAUCAUUUUCUCUCUCAUUUUCCUGAUGUUUGCUGAAAGUGUUCCUAUCUCACUAUAUAUAUCUAGGAAUUGCAUGUUUCCACAACUUUUCUUUUUAUCCUUGCAGCCAAGUCGAUUCAUGCCUCACUCAGUACUUAUUAUUUACAAACAAGUAUUUCCCUUAUUAGGUGUUUUGUGAGAAUGAAUCGAUUAUUAAGAAAUGGGUUUUUUCCUGCUAAUCUAAAACUUAUUGUUGACUGCUAAAUAAGAUGAGAGUUCUUGAGAAUAGAGUUUGGGGUUUUGUUCUGUUAUAUGGGGUAUGCAAGAGAAAGUGAUCGAGCCUAGUGGCCUACCAAUGUGCGACAAACAUAUAUGAAGUUUUAGAUUCGGGAAGUUAAUAAAUUUUGUUGAAUCAGUCAGAGUGGUUGAAUGUGGUAUGGUUCCCUGGUUUCCUAUAACUGCAAGUUCUGUUUGACGAAUGCAUACCCUUGGCUCUCUAGAUAUUCAUAUGCUUGAGAUUGAUCCAGAUAGCAUAGAUGAAAAGAUGUUUCCUGGGGUGCAAGACUUGGAAUUCGUAGACUGUAUAUUAGAGGAGGGUGAAUUACUAUAUAUCCCGCAAAAAUGGUGGCACUAUGUCCGCUCUCUAACUACAA